AAUAAGAUAAGCUAAAGAAGCUAUUGGGCUCAUACCUCAAAUAUGAGAAUUUUUUUCUCUCUUAUUA
rnacentral:tRNA from 1 species